rfam:Brachypodium distachyon strain Bd21 chromosome 2, whole genome shotgun sequence.
UAUAUACUCCCUCCGUCCAGAAAAGGAUGUCUCAAAUUUAUUUAAAUUUGAAUGUACCUAGACAUUAAAACAUGUCUAAAUACAUCCAUAUUUUAAAAAAUUUGCGACAUCCUUUUUAGGACGGAGGUAUUACAUA